AAAAAAAUUCUAUUCAUAAUUUAAAAAUUCAAAUCCACGUCGGUUAUAUUAAACAUAACGACGUUAAAUGAAAAGAUUCCACGUCGAAAAACAAAUAUUGCGUCGUGUUAGUUAAAAACGACGGCAUAACAAAAAACCGUCGUUGUUUCAAACUGAAUUAAUUUAAAAUUUAUUCGGGAAAGCAAAAUCUAUUUAUAAUUUCCUCGGGUUAGUAAUAUUGCGUCGUGUUAGUUUACAAAUUCAAGAACAUUAAUUUCCCUCAUUUUAAAUUUCCUCGGGAAAGAAAAAUCUAUUUAUCACGCUUUGUAAUUGAAAACUAAAACUGAAAGAAUUCGGGAAAAAAAACUCUAUUUAUAAUUUAAAAAUAAAAUCCACGUCGGUUG
rnacentral:lncRNA from 1 species